GUAAGGAAUAUUGGUCAAUGGGCGGAAGCCUGAACCAGCCAUGCCGCGUGCAGGACGAAGGCCCUACGGGUCGUAAACUGCUUUUGUACGGGAACAACCGCAGUUACGCGUAACUGUCAGAGUGUACCGUAAGAAUAAUGAUCGGCUAACUCCGUGCCAGCAGCCGCGGUAAUACGGAGGAUCCGAGCGUUAUCCGGAUUUAUUGGGUUUAAAGGGUGCGUAGGCGGCAGUUUAAGUCAGGAGUGAAAGACGGUGGCUCAACCAUCGCAGUGCUCUUGAUACUGAACUGCUUGAAUGACAUUGAAGACGGCGGAAUGAGACAAGUAGCGGUGAAAUGCAUAGAUAUGUCUCAGAACCCCGAUAGCGAAGGCAGCUGUCUAAACGUUUAUUGACGCUGAUGCACGAAAGCGUGGGGAUCGAACAGGAUUAGAAACCCCGGUAGUCC
rnacentral:rRNA from 1 species